rnacentral:rRNA from 1 species
UACAGAGGGUGCAAGCGUUGCUCGGAAUCAUUGGGCGUAAAGGGUAGGUAGGUGGUCUCAUUUGUCUGGGGUGAAAGCCCAGGGCUUAACCCUGGAAGUGCCCCGGAAACGGUGAGACUGGAGUCCUGGAGAGGGUCGUGGAAUUCCCGGUGUAGCGGUGAAAUGCGUAGAGAUCGGGAGGAACACCAGAGGCGAAGGCGGCGACCUGGACAGGUACUGACACUCAAAUACGAAAGCGUGGGGAGCAAACAGG